AAUAGAGCUUUUUGGGAGUAGCUAAUGGUGAAAUUCGAAUUGGGUUACUUUUUAUUCUUCAUUUUGAUUAUUGGAACUGCAAAUGGGGGAAUUGAAGGAGUAAUCAAAGUGAAUUACAAGUUUUCCGGUUCUGAACGGACUCUCACUGCCCUAAAAGCCCAUGAUGAAAAGCGCCAUCUAAGACUUCUCGCCGGCGUCGACCUACCUAUCGGCGGCACCGGCCGUCCUGAUUCCGUCGGGCUUUACUAUGCUAAGAUUGGAAUCGGAACACCAUCAAAUGAUUAUUAUGUGCAAGUGGAUACCGGAAGCGACAUAAUGUGGGUUAACUGUGUUGGAUGCGAUCAAUGCCCCAGAAGAGGAUAUCAUGGUCUGGAGCUAGCAUUCUACAAUCGAAAGGAUUCUCUCUCUGGUAAAUUAAUUUCUUGUGGACACCAGUUCUGCAAGGACGUAAAUGGAGGCUCGGUAUCAGGCUGCUAUGGUAAUAAUUCAUGUUAUUUUAAUGAAAAUUACGGAGAUGGAAGCUAUAGUAUGGGCUACUUUGUGGAGG
rnacentral:misc_RNA from 1 species